rnacentral:rRNA from 1 species
UCCGAAGGGGGCUAUCGUUGUUCGGAAUCACUGGGCUUAAAGGGCGAGUAGGCGGUAGGGCAAGUCUGAGGUGGAAUCCUAUGGCUCAACCAUAGAACUGCCUUGGAAACUGUUCUACUUGAGUCAGUGAGGGGAGGGCGGAAUUCCCGGUGUAGCGGUGAAAUGCGUAGAUAUCGAGAGGAAGGCCGGUGGCGAAGGCGGCCCUCUGGCGCUGUACUGACGCUGAGGCGCGAAAGCUAGGGGAGCGAACGGG